rnacentral:tRNA from 1 species
GAAGGUGUAACUAGGGGUAGAGUGCAUGCCUAGCAUGCAUGAGGUCCUGGGUUCAAUCCACAAUAUCUCCA